CACGUAGGGCGCAAGGCGUUGUCCGGAAUUAUUGGGCGUAAAGAGCUCGUAGGCGGACUGUCACGUCUGCUGUGAAAGUCCAGGGCUCAACCCUGGGAUGCCGGUGGAUACUGUCGGGCUCGAGUCCGGGAGAGGCGAGUGGAAUUCCUGGUGUAGCGGUGAAAUGCGCAGAUAUCAGGAGGAACACCAAUGGCGAAGGCAGCUCGCUGGGACGUGACUGACGCUGAGACGCGAAAGCGUGGGGAGCGAACAGG
rnacentral:rRNA from 1 species